GUAGUCCACGCCGUAAACGAUGAGUACUAGGUGUAGGGGGUGCCAACCCUCUGUGCCGCAGUUAACACAAUAAGUACUCCGCCUGGGAAGUACGAUCGCAAGAUUAAAACUCAAAGGAAUUGACGGGGGCCCGCACAAGCAGCGGAGCAUGUGGUUUAAUUCGAAGCAACGCGAAGAACCUUACCUGGACUUGACAUCCCCUGAAUUACCGGUAAUGCGGGAAGCCCUUCGGGGCAGGGAGACAGGUGGUGCAUGGUUGUCGUCAGCUCGUGUCGUGAGAUGUUAGGUUAAGUCCUGCAACGAGCGCAACCCUUAUCAUUAGUUGCUACCAUUAAGUUGAGCACUCUAGUGAGACUGCCCGGGUUAACCGGGAGGAAGGUGGGGAUGACGUCAAAUCAUCAUGCCCCUUAUGUCCAGGGCUACACACGUGCUACAAUGGUGAGUACAAUUAGAUGCAAACUCGCGAGGGGGAGCCAAACUGAAAAACUCAUCCCCAGUUCGGUUGUAGGCUGAAAACUCGCCUACAUGAAGCUGGAGUUGCUAGUAAUCGCGAAUCAGAAUGUCGCGGUGAAUACGUUCCCGGGCCUUGUACACACCGCCCGUCANACCAUGAGAGCUGGCAACACCCGAAGGUCCGUGAGGUAACCGUAAGACCAGCGCCGAAGGUGGGUCAGUGCAUUGGGGUGAAGUCGUAACCAAGGUACCGUAGGAGAACCUCCGGCUGGA
rnacentral:rRNA from 1 species